GGCGGAUCAGCUCUCUAAGGUGACGCGAGCGAAGGGUUCAUAACCCACAGGUCGGCGGUUCGAGCCCGCCUCCAGCCACCA
rnacentral:tRNA from 1 species